UACGUAGGGGCCGAGCGUUGUCCGGAGUUAUUGGGCGUAAAGCGCGCGCAGGCGGCCUCGCGCGCCCGACGUGAAAGCCCCCGGCUUAACCGGGGAGGGUCGUUGGGGGACGGCGGGGCUUGAGGGCGGGAGAGGUCGGUGGAAUUCCCGGUGUAGUGGUGAAAUGCGUAGAGAUCGGGAGGAACACCUGUGGCGAAGGCGGCCGACUGGGCCGACCCUGACGCUGAGGCGCGAAGGCGUGGGGAGCGAACGGG
rnacentral:rRNA from 1 species